rnacentral:rRNA from 1 species
GACGAACGCUGGCGGCGUGCCUAAUACAUGCAAGUAGAACGCUGAAGGAGGAGCUUGCUUCUCUGGAUGAGUUGCGAACGGGUGAGUAACGCGUAGGUAACCUGCCCGGUAGCGGGGGAUAACUAUUGGAAACGAUAGCUAAUACCGCAUAAUAGCAGUUGUUGCAUGACAACUGUUUGAAAGGUGCAAUUGCACCACUACCAGAUGGACCUGCGUUGUAUUAGCUAGUUGGUGGGGUAACGGCUCACCAAGGCGACGAUACAUAGCCGACCUGAGAGGGGGGUCGGCCACACUGGGACGGAGACACGGCCCAGAGUCCUACGGGAGGCAGCAGUAGGGAAUCUUCGGCAAUGGACGGAAGUCUGACCGAGCAACGCCGCGGGAGGGAAGAAGGGUGUCGGAUCGGAAAGCUCGGUUGUAAGAGAAGAACGAGCGUGAGAGUGGAAAGUUCACACUGUGACGGUAUCUUACCAGAAAGGGACGGCUAACUACGUG